rnacentral:rRNA from 1 species
UAGGGAAUCUUCCGCAAUGGGCGAAAGCCUGACGGAGCAACGCCGCGUGAGUGAUGAAGGUCUUCGGAUCGUAAAACUCUGUUAUUAGGGAAGAACAAAUGUGUAAGUAACUAUGCACGUCUUUACGGUACCUAAUCAGAAAGCCACGGCUAACUACGUGCCAGCAGCCGCGGUAAUACGUAGGUGGCAAGCGUUAUCCGGAAUUAUUGGGCGUAAGGCGCGCGUAGGCGGUUUUUUAAGUCUGAUGUGAAAGCCCACGGCGCAACCGUGGAGGGUCAUUGGAAACUGGAAAACUUGAGUGCAGAAGAGGAAAGUGGAAUUCCAUGUGUAGCGGUGAAAUGCGCAGAGAUAUGGAGGAACACCAGUGGCGAAGGAGACUUUCUGGUCUGUAACUGACGCUGAUGUGCGAAAGCAUGGGGAUCAAACAGG